rnacentral:rRNA from 1 species
UACGUAGGCGGAAAAUUAAGUCAGUGGUGAAAUCCUGCAGCUUAACUGUAGAACUGUCAUUGAUACUGGUUUUCUUGGAUAUAGUUGAGGUAGGCGGAAUGUGUAAUGUAGCGGUGAAAUGCUUAGAUAUUACACAGAACACCGAUUGCGAAGGCAGCUUACUAAGCUAUGAUUGACGCUGAGGUACGAAAGCGUGGGGAGCGAACAGGAUUAGAUACCCUGGUAGUCC